ensembl:lncRNA
CAUUAGAGAAUACUUGAGAGCUGGGAUUUUCAUUGCUCUAAGUCUUUGUUUGAAUUUUGGUGUGUCACGCUGCAUUUUAUUGCUUUACAGUGUUCUAUGUUAUCUCCAUGGAGUGUUUGGUCCUAGCUGUACUGUCAGGGACUGAAAUUCCAGCAGGAAAGACAAGAUACUACAUAACACAAAAAACGGACUUUGCCCUGGUAGUGGGUUUGUAUUGUACACGUUAGGCAAAGCAGUCAUGUGGAGCUUUUUCAUUUUUCUCCUUUUGACUUUUUAGGGUUAUGUUCCAACCUCUUUGGCAUGUUUUAAGGGAAGUGCCUUAAAUUACAGCCUGCCUUGUGGAAAGAAAAGUGACAUUUUGUGCAAGUGGCGAUUAUCUUCCUUCAUUUUGACUGAUUGUCCAGCUACCAAGAAGGGUGACACAGCUUUGUCAGUAUCCUUUGCUGUAGAUACAAGAACGAUGGCCCAUAUCCUACCCACAACAACUUUACGUUCGGGGACUCUCCAUAUAGAAAAAGCUAGCUGGAUGUACUUGUAUAAGGCCUUUUGUCUGGAUCCUUGGACAGACCCCUGUGAGUCUUGCAAGUAACAGGGUGAAAUAGAAAGCAGGUUCUAUAGGCCAGGUAGAAGCAUUCAGAGCUAGGAUAUGAAUGGCAAGAUACCUUAAGAAAAUUCGUCAGGAUGAGCCUCUUUCUAACACUGCUUUCCUGCCGAUCUCUCUUGCAAAAAGCUGAAGUCCUGCCCAAAGACGAGACCCUAGCUACCUCAGGUGGCACUUCAAAGUUAAGUCACUGCUGAUGGAUAAAGCUUCUACUGGCUUCUCUUGUUUAUUCAAAUAUACCAGUCUUGAGAUGGGCCCUAUGGUCUUUCUGUUGCAUCUUCAGCAAAUUUCCAUGAAGUCAUCUUAAUGGAAGUGUGUCAGUUUAUUCCCCUUCAGGUGUUCCUGUGUGCAAAGACAAACUAGGAAAGAGUUACUAUCUCUAUUGCUAAGUUCAAUCUCUUAUUAAAUAUGCACGUUGUUCCUACGGUCAAACUUCACUGACUAUAGAAGGGUCAUGAGCAAGAUGUGUGCCUGUUUUCACUAUUCUUCUAGCAGUCAAACACAAAACAGGCAGGGCAACCUUACUGAUGCAGUGACCAUUCAUUGUCUUUUAAAAGAAUUAUGGUAAAUUUUUGGUCUAUUAUCUCAGUCUUUUUUGCUAUAUCAUCUUGAAGAAUUAGCCAGAGGAUUUAAAAAUUGAUGUAAUUUUUGGUAUUUGGGAAUAGUCCUUCCCUUGUAAAAGAGAUUGAAUGAGACUAUAAUGUCUGUUAAAAUCAAAAGCUUUGGACUCUGUAGGUCUGCUGGCUUGAUUUGCAAUGUCACAUCACCUCUCUCCCUCCUAAUUCGUUUAUUCAUCUUCUAUCAUCUUAGGCUUAAAAGAAGAAUCCUUUAAGAUCAGAGAUUUUAUUUAUAAAUGGUCUCUGAUCUCAUCGCUCUUAUAGUUUCACGAUCAUAGAACAAAACUUGAAUCAACUAGGUCAUUGAUGCAUUUUUUUAAUCGUACCACCCUGUAUAUACCUUUAAAUGAAAAAAAGUUUGUAUCUUUGCA